rnacentral:ncRNA from 2 species
AUGAGGCGAGGCGACUGGCGCAGGUGGGGGACCACCGGGAAGCUGAAUUCAGGACGCAUCGACCGCCUGGGUGCUCCUC